rnacentral:rRNA from 1 species
UACAGAGGGUGCGAGCGUUGUCCGGAAUCACUGGGCGUAAAGGGCGCGUAGGUGGCCCGACAAGUCUGUGGUGAAAGCUCGACGCUCAACGUCGAGUCGGCCAUAGAUACUGUUGGGCUGGAGCACUGUAGAGGCUCAUGGAAUUCCGGGUGUAGCGGUGGAAUGCGAAGAGAUCCGGAAGAACACCGGUGGCGAAGGCGGUGAGCUGGGCAGUAGCUGACACUGAGGCGCGACAGCGUGGGGAGCAAACAGG